rnacentral:rRNA from 1 species
CAGUCGCCGCGGGAAUACGUAGGUGGCAAGCGUUGUCCGGAAUUAUUGGGCGUAAAGGGCUCGCAGGCGGUUUCUUAAGUCUGAUGUGAAAGCCCCCGGCUCAACCGGGUAGGGUCAUUGGAAACUGGGAAACUUGAGUGCAGAAGAGGAGAGUGGAAUUCCACGUGUAGCGGUGAAAUGCGUAGAGAUGUGGAGGAACACCAGUGGCGAAGGCGACUCUCUGGUCUGUAACUGACGCUGAGGAGCGAAAGCGUGGGGAGCGAACAGGAUUAGAUACCCCAGUAGUCCCUGUCUCUUAUAC